rnacentral:rRNA from 1 species
UUCCGGUUGAUCCUGCCGGACCUUACUGCUAUCGGGAUAAGACUAAGCCAUGCGAGUUGUAUGUUGAGAGAGCAGCGAACGGCUCCGUAACACGUAGUUAACCUACCCCCAGGACAGGGAUACCCCCGGGAAACUGGGGAUAAUACCUGAUAGGCGGAAAGACCUGGAAUGGUCUUCCACUCAAAGGAAUCGAUACCUGAGGAUGGGACUGCGGCCGAUCAGGUUGUUGGUGGGGUAACGGCCCACCAAGCCGAUAACCGGUACGGGCCCUGAGAGGGGGAGCCCGGAGAUGGGAACUGAGACAAGGUCCCAGGUCCUACGGGACGCAGCAGGCGCGAAAACUCCACAAUGCACGAAAGUGUGAUGGGGUUAUCCCGAGUGCCGUCCGAUGAGGAUGGCUUUUCCUCGGUGUAAAUAGCCGAGGGAAUAAAGGGGGGGCAAGAUCUGGUGUCAGCCGCCGCGGUAAUACCAGCUCCCUGAGUGGUAGGGAUGAUUAUUUGGCCUAAAGCGUCCGUAGCCGGCUUGGUAAGUCUUUCGUCAAAUCCAACGACUCAAUCGUUGGUCCGCGGAAGAUACUUCUAGGCUAGAGGACGGGAGAGGUUGACGGUAGUCCCAGGGUAGGGGUGAAAUCCAAUAAUCCUGGGAGGACCACCAGUGGCGUAGGCGGUCAACAAGAACGUGCCUGACGGUGAUGGACGAAAGCUGGGGGAGCGAACCGGAUUAGACACCCGGGUAGUCCCAGCCGUAAACGAUGCGGGCUAGGUGUUAGGGCAGCUACGAGCUGCUCUAGUGCCGCAGAGAAGUCGUUAAGCCCGCCGCCUGGGGAGUACGAUCGCAAGGUUGAAACUUAAAGGAAUUGGCGGGGGAGCACCACAAGGGGUGAAGCCUGCGGUUUAAUUGGAGUCAACGCCGGA